GCAUACAUAGCUCAGUGGUAGAGUGUGUGCUUAGCAUGCAUGAGGUCCUGGGUUCAAUCCCUAGUACCUCCA
rfam:Camelus ferus unplaced genomic scaffold scaffold259, whole genome shotgun sequence.